AUUGAACGCUGGCGGCAUGCCUUACACAUGCAAGUCGAACGGCAUCGCGGGAAAGCUUGCUUUCCUGGCGGCGAGUGGCGAACGGGUGAGUAACACAUCGGAACGUACCGGCUAGUGGGGGAUAACCCGUCGAAAGACGGGCUAAUACCGCAUACGCUCUUCGGAGGAAAGCAGGGGACCUUUGGGCCUUGCGCUAGUCGAGCAGCCGAUGUCCGAUUAGCUAGUUGGUGGGGUAAAGGCCUACCAAGGCGACGAUCGGUAGCGGGUCUGAGAGGACGAUCCGCCACACUGGGACUGAGACACGGCCCAGACUCCUACGGGAGGCAGCAGUGGGGAAUCUUGGACAAUGGGGGCAACCCUGAUCCAGCAAUGCCGCGUGGGUGAAGAAGGCCUUCGGGUUGUAAAGCCCUUUCGGCAGGGAAGAAAUCGGCGGGGCGAAUAACCCUGCUGGAUGACGGUACCUGCAGAAGAAGCACCGGCUAACUACGUG
rnacentral:rRNA from 1 species